rnacentral:rRNA from 1 species
GCUUGUCUCAAAGAUUAAGCCAUGCAUGUCUAAGUAUAAGCAUUAUACAGUGAAACUGCGAAUGGCUCAUUAUAUCAGUUAUAGUUUAUUUGAUGGUUCUUGCUACUUGGAUAACCGUAGUAAUUCUAGAGCUAAUACAUGCAUCAAACCCCGACUUCUGGAAGGGGUGUAUUUAUUAGAUGGAAACCAAUGCGGGGCAACCCGGAUUCUGGUGAUUCAUAAUAACUUUCGGAUCGAUCUUCGGAUCGAUGCAUCAUUCAAGUUUCUGCCCUAUCAGCUUUGGAUGGUAGGGUAUUGGCCUACCAUGGCUUUAACGGGUAACGGAGAAUUAGGGUUCGAUUCCGGAGAGGGAGCCUGAGAAAUGGCUACCACAUCCAAGGAAGGCAGCAGG